AGAUUCUUUGAACUUGGAGUCAAACCUGAGGCUCUGACCCCUUGUAGCCGCUGGCCCUCCCUUGACCCCUUUGGAUGAGUGAGGGGGCUCAGCUGGACCCUAUGACCUUGCUUCACGUUGGAGCAUGGAGUUUUCCAAGGAUCUAUCGCUAGAGUGCCGUCUGAACAGCCAUUGCUGCUGAUGCCUAAAACCUCUUCUAAGAAACACUCCAAUUAUUCAGAUAAUUGCUUGUGCCUAAGACUGUAUAACCUAAGAGUGGAGUGCAGGCUUGAUAAAGAGUUGGAAGCCCUCUGCAAAACUGCUACAGGUGUUCUGCGUUCCGACGUCCUCCAUCACCCUGGACAGGGGUUAUUCUUCCAGCCCAGUCUCUCCCAUUUCCUCUUUUCUCCCUCCAUCUCCUCCCAUUUGCUUGGCCAGAGCAGAGGCUCGGCUGGUCUAGUUCAGGUAGGACGGCCAGCAUCCAGUCACCGCCAUAUUCAACAAGGACUUGAGAGCUUCUCGAGAGAGAAAUGCAGGUCAAACCAGCCAGGGCUUUUAAAAGGGGGCUUUGUGUGACCCUGGACACCUGCAACUGGGAGCCAACACUGCCACGUGCUCUCUCUUUUCUCACGCCUCAACUUCCUCUGAAUACUGAUCUAAAUCUCUUUGCUAAGCUUCCUCUCUGUGGCAGGUAAUGUGCAUGAUGGCAGCUUUUGCUUAUUGCACCUCAUGACUUCACUGCCAGAAAGGGACAGAGAGAGGCCUUCGUGGCCUUCACUGGGUCCAGGUGACCAUCACUGGCUCAAUCACUGCGGCCCAGGAAGAGCUGAACUGAUGGCUGCUCACAUCUGGACUCUGAUUUGUGCUAGGGAGGGGGCACUCUCCAGAAGAAGGGGCCUCUGUCCUGGAAGACAUACAAUGGAGCCCACCACCGUGGUGCUGAGAGCUAUUCCCAAGUCCUAGGGCGCAGUGGGCCCUCCCCCUUCGCCUCUGCGUCCCCUGCCUGGCAGUGGGGGACAUGGCCUGGGGGAGGGGUCACAUCUGUCCACAGAGCCCAUUGUUUUUUGGCUUGAAAAUCCAUAGGAAAAUGGGGGUUUUUCUCAGCUCUUUUUGGAGUGGGGGCAGCAGCUGUGUGAUUUUCUGAGCGGAAUGCCUUGGAGGAUCUAAGCAGUGAGUGAAGGAAGAACAAAAGAACCAUUCUCAGAAGCACGGCAAAAAUGAAACCAAAUAAAAACCCCAUAAAAAUCCCUACCGGGGCAGAGGAAAUACCAAGCCAGUGCUUUUGGACUGCAGAUUCUGUAAUAAAGGAAAGAUUCACGGAUACGCUGUGCAACUUGCUUACGUUUGGGCUGGAAGGAGAAUGUGCAGGAAAAUGAUAUAAAAGUCAUCCAAGAAAGGGAGGCAUCGCUGUGUGCAUUUGUGUUGUGUGUUGUUGCAAUUCAGGAGUGGACUAAGGACUGGGGUUCAUGGGGAGCCUGAAAGAGACACUGGACAGGAACUGGUUCAAAGUUUGUGCACAGCUGCGGAGAUCAGAUGACUGUCAGCUGGGCCUGCCCCCUGCUGCCUCUGCUCGAUUGCAGGAGGAACUCUGACCUUGAUUUAGUCACCAAAACACCCAUCUGGAAAGCUCUUUGAAGAUUGAUUAAGUAAACACUCACAGCACAGAUAAUCAUAAUUGAGUGACGUAGCUGAAUUAUCUGCAGUGCAUGGAAGAAUGCACUGAUGAGAAAGCUCAGGGGCAUGUUCCCUCUCUGUUCCUCUAAUUUGGCUUCCUUACUUAGGGGUACAGUUUCGGGCACCGGGAGUGUUUUGAGGGGAUGGCGUGGAGGAUGUGGAAACUUUCACUCUCAUUUGGCAGGGUGACACUAUCGCAGGCAUAGAACACCACCCGUCACCGCACUGCAGCUGGUGUGGCCUGUGGCAGGUAGCACUGUCCGCACAGCUGACCUGAGAUGCUGCCUGUAGGGGGUUUCAGUUCUGCUUUGUGACUGUGGGCUGCUGUGAGCCCACUUUGGGAAAGGGCUCACAGAUGGAGAAGGCCUGGAUUUCAUCUGGGAGUGCCUCACCUCUCUGCACGGUGGUUCUGCUCUAGGCAAGAGCUGGUGGGCUUCUGUGGGCAUGAAGCAGUGGCCACGCUACUUCCCUAAUGAUCUCUGCAGCUCCGUGGGAGAUAGAGAUGGGAAUAGGCUGUCAGCUCUGGACUCAGCUUCUGGACUUGGUAUGCCUGGAAUUUGUUGAGUCCUCUGGAUUCGGGGAGCAGUUUUGAUGUUCAUUCAAUUCAUUCAUGAUUGAUACAUCCACCUAUUCACUCACUCACCGGGGCUAUCAUUUCAUCAUUCAGUCACGUUGAGAUGAUGUCUCUCCCACCUUUUCUCUCUCCUGCCUGGCACAGUGCCAAGCUUCUGCCAGGGCUCUGCACAUUUGUUGACAUCUCUUCCUGCUCUGCCUUUGUUAUGGUUGAAUAUCUAACCCCCAGGACCUCAGAAUGUGACCUUAUUUGGUGAUAAGGUACUUAUUUAUUUAUUUACUUAAUUUUUGAUACAGAGCCUCGCUCUGUCACCCAGGCUGGAGUGCAGUGGCGCAGUCUCAGCUUACUGCAACCUCUGUCUCCCGGGUUCAAGCAUUCAAGUGAUUCUCUUGCCUCAGCCUCCCAAGUAGCUGGGAUUACAGGCGCAUACCACCACGCCGGGCUAAUUUUUGUACUUUUAGUACAGACUGAGUUUCAUCAUGUUGGUCAGGCUGGUCUCGAACUCCUGACCUCAGGUGAUCACUUCAGUGAUCCCAAACUGCUGGAAUUAUAGGUGUGAGCCACUGUGCCUGGCCAAGUGUAAGGGUCUUUAAAGAGGUGAUUAAGUCAGAAUGAGGUCACGAGGAUGGGCCCUAAUCCAAUAUGACUGGUGUUCUUCUAAGAAGAGGAGAUGAGGACAUAGACACACACAGAGGGAAGCCCAUCUGAGGACAUGGGGUGAAGAUGGCCAUUUCCAAGCCAAAGAGAGGCCUCAGAAGACACCAACCCCGCCGGCACCUACACCUCAGACUUCCAGCCUCCAGACAGUGAAGAAAUAAAGUUCUGUUGUUUAAGCCAGUCUGUGGUACUUUGUUAUGACAGCCCGGGAAAAUGAAUACAGCCUCUCAACACGUUCACUGAGCAUAUAGCCAUCUGCAAGUUAUUCUAGACGAUCUACAGACAAAAGUAGAGAAGUACAGGAAAAGAGGAACAGGAACAAGCUCAUCUUUUCUUCUUCAUUUUCUCCUCCCAAACCCUCCCUACUCAGCCUCUCCUUACCUCUACCCUCAGCAGAAAGCAGAAACUUAGGGGGAAAUGAAACAGAGGGCUCUCCAGCAGAUGCCACCCUACGGAAGCUCUGGAAUAGAAUGGAGACCCUUCAAUAUAGAAUCAGAAGCAUCACUUUCUUUUGGCUGUCCCCCACUCUCCAAGUUUGUUUUUAGCUCACGUGUAUACACACUCAUGGCCACAACACACACACGGCCUGACAAAGCAGCCACAUGUGUGCAUCUCAGAAAGACUGGGAACAGGGACCCCAGCUGUUGUUGACACGCUGUGACUGUGUGGCUGGCAGUGUGUUUGCCAGUGUUUGCCAGUCCCAGCUUUAUGGGGCAUGGUGGCUGGAAAAGGCUGCAAUAAAAUGAUUCUCUGGGGCACGAAUUAUGUCACUUUUUGCCCUUUGUGUGUAAAAAUGAUGGCAAUGUUGUGUUUCCACGCAAUUGCUACAGGACUGUCCUUUGAUUUAUGGCCCUGGAGGAUGGCUGUGUGCUCUGAUCUCUUUAUCUGCAAGAAUCACCAGCUCAUUUCAUUGUGGAUCAUCUUGGGAUCUCUGGAAACACCUCCCAGUCUUCAAACCUGCUGUGCCUAUUAACAAGCCAGGCCUGUUUAAAACAGGCUCAGUAUGGAAGACUCAAUAUUCCUCGUUCUUCUACAGUAUCUACCAUUUUGGAUCAAAGACAUUUUUCACCACACAACGCAAUAAUAAUCCUGUCCCAUUGGUCCUUUUGCAAUCCUGGCUUAGUUCACUGAUUUUAAAGGAAAUUGGGAUUCCAGGAGCUCAGUGUUGACCAACGGGUCCCAUGUUGCCUAGUACUGGGUCCCCAGAGGACUUUGGCCAAGAUGUGACUGCCAAUGUGGCUGUAAUCAGCUUCUUUGUGCAUGCUGCGGAGUGAAAUUUGCACGUCACAGUCACUCUUCCCUCAUAUUGAUAGUGGUGUUUCUGAAGUCUCGUGGCAUUUCUUCAUUUAACGUUGAUGUUAAAACAAGCUUCCCUUUCUUUUCUAUGUCUAUUCCAGUGAUGUUCUGAGGGCCAGCCCAGCAAGAGUGUCCCAAAGCCCGGGUAUGCUCAACUUCUCCUGCCUCACUUCCUCCUGCAGUGCCUUCCUUUCCUGGCUUCCAUUUCUGCCCCUCGACCCUGCCUUCUUUCUCUUGCUCCCUGCUUAUUCCCAAGCAGAAUCCUCUUAUUUGAUGGGACCUAGCGUAUGCCCUACUCCUGAGGUUAGCUGCGUUUUAGAUGAGUGUCUCCUGAAUAUCCUAAGCUUUCAAAAUCCAAAGAAAUUAUCUCCCAAUGCUUGAACGGAGCCAAGGUUUUCUACCUGGACUGGUUGGGCAGACAGGUCUACUCUGCUUACUUACAUAACCAGGUAAGGUGAUCUGCUGGGUUCUAAGUGGCACCCCUUCCUCGGUGUGUGUCUGUCUGCAUGUUUGGCUGAUGCGCAGACGCCUUCUCAGGUAGGUCUGGGGUGAUGCAGGCUCCUAUCACUCAAGGGUAUGAAUCUCUCUGCAAGUGGAGACUGAUGUGGGCUCUUGGUGCCAUCUCACUGCCACCUUCCCUUAGCCCCAGAGCUAUAUUUACUAGCUAGCCAAUAAAAACAAACAAAUACUACAGCUCUACAUGCGUUCAAACCCUUGCUCUCCUCUACGCUUUCAUUUCAUAAAUGUUGGUACAUCCAGAGAACUGAACUGAGCCCACAGCCAUGUACGAGCUUUUCAGUGACCUGAUCACUUCCAAUCUGCUCCAGCCAAUGAGGAUUCAGGGCAGUGACCCUUAGAUAAAAGGCUUCAUUUGGCAUGAGUCAUCCGUGGAGACAUCCAGCCCACUUGCUCUGUGUUAAGUGCCUGGUUCCUGUAAAUAUUGACAGUUAGAAACCAUCCCAAGAGCUACCAUGCAGUGAUCUGGAAGGUAAUGUACACGAACAUGACCACUGAUGAGGCAAUGCUCAUUAUUUGCUAAGAUUCAGCCACUGAUAAAUAUCACCCCAUUAUCUCUCUUCCCAAUAGCGGCUCAUUUACUUGUGUGUGACUCAUAGUUGGUGUUUUAUGGGGUCUGAUUCAGCAAGGAAAGUUUGCUGCAACAAAGAAUGACAUCCAAGGCCACUUCAACUUCUAGAAUACUGGCUUCUCAACAAGAGUGGCCUGGAAAAGCUAAAGGGGGAGUCUUCAUCAUCAAGGAACUAAAGGGGGUAUGGAGGGAUAUAGAGCAAAAGAGUGUUUGUCACCAGUCAAAGCCGAUGUGUUAAAACCCACUUAUCCCCAUAGGCACACUUCCAUUACAGUUUAUCUACGGAUGCCAGUGACCUGCAAGAGGCUCCUUCUCCUUGUUCAAGUCACUUUGGGCUUGUUAGCUCUAUCUCAAAGAAGGGGCAAGGAUAAAUCUCUACCCAUGCAGAAGCUGAUUUUACCUUUUGCUCUUCCUUUCUGACUGCUUAAAAUAAAUGUAUCAUUACCU